rnacentral:rRNA from 1 species
CGAGAUUCCCCCAGUAGCGGCGAGCGAACGGGGAGGAGCCCAGAGCCUGAAUCAGUGUGUGUGUUAGUGGAAGCGUCUGGAAAGGCGCGCGAUACAGGGUGACAGCCCCGUACACAAAAAUGCACAUACUGUGAGCUCGAUGAGUAGGGCGGGACACGUGGUAUCCUGUCUGAAUAUGGGGGGACCAUCCUCCAAGGCUAAAUACUCCUGACUGACCGAUAGUGAACCAGUACCGUGAGGGAAAGGCGAAAAGAACCCCGGCGAGGGGAGUGAAAAAGAACCUGAAACCGUGUACGUACAAGCAGUGGGAGCCUCUUUUAUGGGGUGACUGCGUACCUUUUGUAUAAUGGGUCAGCGACUUAUAUUCUGUAGCAAGGUUAACCGAAUAGGGGAGCCGAAGGGAAACCGAGUCUUAACCGGGCGUUAAGUUGCAGGGUAUAGACCCGAAACCCGGUGAUCUAGCCAUGGGCAGGUUGAAGGUUGGGUAACACUAACUGGAGGACCGAACCGACUAAUGUUGAAAAAUUAGCGGAUGACUUGUGGCU